ensembl:lncRNA novel transcript, antisense to BAIAP2L1
CCGCCAUGGUGUUCCAGGGAAACCAGCUUCCGAGCUGUACUUCAGAGCCCUCUGCAAACAGUGCUACCUAGACAAGGUGGGGUCAGAGGCUCUCAGAUAAGCAGAACUUGCAGGGCUUGUGACAGGUAUAUAACCUAGUCCUUAAGCCCUGUGGGAUUUUACAGCGCUCUGACGGAGUAACUCGAUGGCUAAACACGGGGAGUAAAGACAGAACCAUCCCAGCACUCAGGGCUCCACCCUCCGAGUAAGCGAGCUUCCCACUCCACAUCCUUAGCAACGCUGGCUUCAUCUUCCAGAACGGGGCAUGAGAAAACCGACAGACCAGAAUUCUUCACAAAAGCUGCCUUCACACAGCCAAGAGCAUAAUUCCAUUAAUAUGCCAUUUUAUAGCCCCUCAGUCAUUUCAGAUACAAACUCAGUUACUUUCACAUCUAUUUUAAACCCACAAACAAUUCCUCAUUGGGGAUGAAAUAUAAACAACAACAAAACCCGCUCCAGUUAUUUAGAAAAUCAGACACUCUAUUCUUGGCAAAGGAGAUCUACUUAAAAUACAUAAAUAAAUAAACAUCUAAAAAUAA